rnacentral:rRNA from 1 species
GUCUUAGUUCGGAUGUAGGCUGCAACUCGCCUACAUGAAGUCGGAAUUGCUAGUAAUCGCGGAUCAGCAUGCCGCGGUGAAUACGUUCCCGGGCCUUGUACACACCGCCCGUCACACCAUGGGAGUCGGUAACACCCGAAGCCUGUAGUCUAACCGCAAGGAGGACGCCGCCGAAGGUGGGGUUGAUGAUUAGGGUUAAGUCGUAACAAGGUACC